UUAAUAAAGAGUUUGAUCCUGGCUGAGGACGAACGCUGGCGGCACGCUUAACAAAUGCAAGUCGAUCGGAGGUAUUUUGGUUUACUGAGAUACCUUAGUGGCGGACGGGUGAGUAACACGUGAGCAACCUACCUUGUAGAGAGGGAUAGCUUCUGGAAACGGAUGGUAAUACCUCAUGACAUAUACGGAAGGCAUCUUUUGUAUAUCAAAGAUUUAUCACUAUGAGAUGGGCUCGCGUCUGAUUAGAUAGUUGGUGAGGUAACGGCUCACCAAGUCGACGAUCAGUAGCCGGACUGAGAGGUUGAACGGCCACAUUGGGACUGAGACAC
rnacentral:rRNA from 1 species